GGAUUAGAUACCCUGGUAGUCCACGCUGUAAACGAUGAGAACUAGAUGUUGGAAGGGUCUGCCUUUCGGUGUCGCAGCUAACGCGUUAAGUUCUCCGCCUGGGGAGUACGGCCGCAAGGCUGAAACUCAAAGGAAUUGACGGGGACCCGCACAAGCGGUGGAGCAUGUGGUUUAAUUCGAUGCAACGCGAAGAACCUUACCUGCCCUUGACAUACAGAGAACUUUCUAGAGAUAGAUCGGUGCCUUCGGGAAUUCUGAUACAGGUGCUGCAUGGCUGUCGUCAGCUCGUGCCG
rnacentral:rRNA from 1 species